rnacentral:rRNA from 1 species
AGCGAACGCUGGCGCCCGGCUUAACACAUGCAAGUCAAGAGGGCCCUUCGGGGUCAGCGUCGGCAGGGUGAGUAACGCGUGGGAACGUGGCAUCGGGUCUGGAAUAACGCUGGUAAACUAGGGCUAAUACCGGAUACGCACUUUUGGUGAAAGGUUUACUGCCGGAAGAUCGGCCCGAGUCUGAUUAGCUAGUUGGUGGGGUAACGGCCUAGCAAGGCGACGAUCAGUAGCUGGUCUGAGAGGAUGAUCAGCCACACUGGGACUGAGACACGGCCCAGACUCCUACGGGAGGCAGCAGCGGGGAAUAUUGGACAAUGGGCGCAAGCCUGAUCCAGCCAUGCCGCGUGAGUGAUGAAGGCCUUAGGGUUGUAAAGCUCUUUUAUCCGGGACGAUAAUGACGGUACCGGAGGAAUAAGCCCCGGCUAACUUCGUGCCAGCCGCCGCAGUAAGAC